AUCCAGCUGACGAGUCCUGAAUAGGACGGGACGAGCGUCCUGGAU
rfam:Schistosoma mattheei strain Denwood, Zambia genome assembly, scaffold: SMTD_scaffold0020717